rnacentral:rRNA from 1 species
UACGAAGGGGGCUAGCGUUGCUCGGAAUCACUGGGCGUAAAGCGCACGUAGGCGGCUUUCUAAGUCGGGGGUGAAAUCCUGGAGCUCAACUCCAGAACUGCCUUCGAUACUGGAAAGCUCGAGUCCGGGAGAGGUGAGUGGAACUGCGAGUGUAGAGGUGAAAUUCGUAGAUAUUCGCAAGAACACCAGUGGCGAAGGCGGCUCACUGGCCCGGUACUGACGCUGAGGUGCGAAAGCGUGGGGAGCAAACAGG